rnacentral:rRNA from 1 species
UGCGUAGGGUGCGAGCGUUGCCCGGAUUUACUGGGCGUAAAGCGCUUGUAGGCGGCUUCGUAAGUUGGGCGUGAAAGCUCCGGGCUUAACCCGGAGAGGCCGUCCAAUACUGCGGAGCUCGAGGGUGCCAGAGGAAGGUGGAAUUCCUGGUGUAGCGGUGAAAUGCGUAGAUAUCAGGAGGAACACCCGUGGCGAAGGCGGCUUUCUGGGGCAUUCCUGACGCUGAGAAGCGAAAGCUAGGGGAGCAAACAGG